GAAAAGCAGGGGAUCGAAAGACCUUGCGCUUUGGGAGCGGCCGAUGUCUGAUUAGCUAGUUGGUGGGGUAAAGGCCUACCAAGGCGACGAUCAGUAGUUGGUCUGAGAGGACGACCAGCCACACUGGGACUGAGACACGGCCCAGACUCCUACGGGAGGCAGCAGUGGGGAAUUUUGGACAAUGGGCGCAAGCCUGAUCCAGCAAUGCCGCGUGAGUGAAGAAGGCCUUCGGGUUGUAAAGCUCUUUCAGUCGAGAAGAAAAAGCUGCAGUGAAUAACUGUAGUUCAUGACGGUAUCGACAGAAGAAGCACCGGCUAACUACGUGCCAGCAGCCGCGGUAAUACGUAGGGUGCGAGCGUUAAUCGGAAUUACUGGGCGUAAAGGGUGCGCAGGCGGUUUUUAAGUCAGAUGAAUCC
rnacentral:rRNA from 1 species